UAUUGAAUGAAAGUCAAAUACAAUAAAAAAUGUACAUUGAAUUAAAAAGAGAAAAUGUUGAGAAUAUUGUUGCUUCAGGAGGAAGGAAGGAGGAAGCGUAUCAUCCGCAGACGUGUGCAAGAUGCAUCUAACCCCUUGGAGUUACCCCAUACAUUAUUCACCCAGCACUAUAGAUUAAGUAAAGAUGCUUUUAAGUAUAUUCUGGAGGAGCUCGAGGAAAAUCUGCGCCAUCAAAAACAUCGUCCGGAAUUCCAAAAAUUUUAAAAUUAUGUGCCUGUUUGCGAUUCUUUGCAGAGGGUGGGUACCAGAAAGGAGUAGGCAGAGAUUACGAAGUUGGAAUGGCGCAGUCAACGUUCAGCGAAGUGCUCACACAAGUUUUAAAUGUAAUAGAGCGAACUUUAUGCUGUAAGUGGAUCACCUUUCCGACCGAGGAAGAGAGUCGAGUGACAGCGCAAGAUUUCUAUCGUUUGGAAUACCAGGCGUUGUGGGAUGUAUUGAUGGCACUCACAUCAAUAUAAUAGGUCCAAUGGAAAUAAACACUUAUACUUCAACCGGAAAGGACACUAUAGCCUAAAUACCACACUUGCAAGUUUUCUUUUUUCUUUUUGUGUUUAUAAUACAAAUAGAAUUGGUGUAUAGAUAGGUGAUAGCAGCAUGAAUAUAACAUUUAUUGAUGCUACACAUCAUGGAGAGUGUCAUGAUUCUUUUAUAUGGAAUACGAGCGCUUACUAUACUGUCAUGGAGCAAAAUUAUAGAGCUAAUGCAUUUGUAUUAUAUUUUCUAGGAAAUUGUGGAUAUCAUCUACAGCCGUGGUUGUUGACUCCUUAUAGGACACUGGAAUCGGGCUCUGUACAACAAAAAUUUAACGAUAUCCAUUCCAAAUGUAGGAAUAUAAAAGAACGGGCAAAUGGUGUUCUAAAAGGCAGAUUGAGGUGUUUACUUGGUGCUAGGUAAACGCAUUAUGACCCAAAAAAAAAAAGCAAUUAAAAUCAUUAAUGUGUGCGUAGCAUUGCACAUGGUUGCAUAUAAGUGUGAAUUCUAUAAUGAACUCUUUUUUGAAAAUGAAUAAAAUGUUGUCGAUCAAGAAAUACCUACAUCAUCUGCAUCAGAUAAAUACCUAGCCAUUGCUUGAAAAAUUCGUGACAAUGUCGCCAGCUCUCUAUGAAUAUCAACCAUUUAAAACUUAUACUUAAACAAUUAAACAAAUGUAAUUUAGUUCAUUUAUAUAUUUUAUUAAUAACUAA